GACGUAUAUCGCGACCGGAAGUGAAAUUGUUUCAUAAGAAGGGCAACGAAAAUCUUCUGUACUUGGCAAUAUCUUUACACCAGAAUGCAUACAGACUUAUCACCACAUCUCCAUACAGAAGAGUGCAAUAAGUUUAUUUAUGCAUAUAAGAAAUGCAUGGAAAAUAAUUUUUUCUCAAAGUUCUUUGGCCAUUGUGACAGACAUGAACAUUGGAUGUCAAAGUGUCUGAAGAAAGAGAGACUGGCAAGAAGAAAGAUAAAUGCAGAUAAAGCAAAGGCAAAGAAUGUACAAAGACAAUCAAAUAUUGUCAGCAUAUUUGAUGAUGAAAGAUGGAAAUUUUUGGAUUCAGAAGAUUGAAAUGAUUGUUGUGUGAAGGAAUUCUUUUUGGAUGUGUAAUGUUGAGUGACAAGUAUCACAUGAAAGUUAUAAUCAAUUCUAUAAACAUUUUGGAAGAAGACUUUGACUACUGUUUUCUGUGAAAUAUCUUUCAAAUGUACAUUUCUAGUCUUUCAUCAUAAGUACUGAUAAUCAUUCAGGGAAUAUGGGAUUGUCAAAAUGCCUUUCACUCAGUUAAAAAUUGCUUUUACUGCAAACAUUAUUAGCAGAAUUGUCCUCUGAUAUACAUUGUCCACUAGUUAUUUUUAUCUAUACAGUAUUCCAUGCAUACAUGCAUAAGUCAAUGUGCUCAUGAAUUUAUUGUAAAAAAAACUAAGUUAAUGGACUGGAUUGUAUACACAUACACAUACAUGUACCUUUUGUAAGUGAGUGGGGCUACAACAAGUCUUCCUUUCCUCAAUCAUCAUAAUGGGGUAGUCUAAUGGGGCAAGCUCUUAUUUAGUGUUCUUUUCAUUUUAUACCAUUUGGUGAGUCUGAUGAGGAGAAAAAUGUUGUUGAGUUGUGAUUAAUCAUUUUAUUGUAAAUAAACAUGGUUUUAUUUGAAUUUAUAAAGAAAUGUUUUAAUGUUUUAA